CGUUCUAUGGCCAAAUUGGUGAAGGCAUCGCCGAUCACAGGUUCAAGUCCCGCUGGAACGG
rnacentral:tRNA from 1 species